rnacentral:rRNA from 1 species
GACGAAGGAUGCAAGCGUUAUCCGGAUUCAUUGGGUUUAAAGGGAGCGUAGGCGGACUUGUAAGUCAGUGGUGAAAUCUGUGGGCUUAACCCACAAACUGCCAUUGAUACUGCAGGUCUAGAGUACAGUUGCCGUUGGCGGAAUAUGACAUGUAGUGGUGAAAUACUUAGAUAUGUCAUAGAACACCGAUUGCGAAGGCAGCUAACGAAGCUGUAACUGACGCUGGGGCUCGAAAGUGCGGGGAUCAAA